rnacentral:rRNA from 1 species
ACACGAGCGGCAGACGGGAGAGUAACACGUGGGAACGUACCCUUUGGUUCGGAACAACCCAGGGAAACUUGGGCUAAUACCGAAUAAGCCCUUACGGGAAAGAUUUAUCGCCGAAGGAUCGGCCCGCGUCUGAUUAGCUAGUUGGUGGGGUAACGGCCCACCAAGGCGACGAUCAGUAGCUGGUCUGAGAGGAUGAUCAGCCUCACUGGGACUGAGACACGGCCCAG